rnacentral:rRNA from 1 species
GACGAACGCUGGCGGCGUGCCUAAUACAUGCAAGUCGAGCGAAUUGAUGGGAGCUUGCUCCCUGAUAUUAGCGGCGGACGGGUGAGUAACACGUGGGUAACCUGCCUGUAAGAUUGGGAUAACUCCGGGAAACCGGAGCUAAUACCGGAUAACAUGUUGAACCGCAUGGUUCAACAUUGAAAGAUGGCUUUUUGCUAUCACUUACAGAUGGACCCGCGGCGCAUUAGCUAGUUGGUGAGGUAACGGCUCACCAAGGCAACGAUGCGUAGCCGACCUGAGAGGGUGAUCGGCCACACUGGGACUGAGACACGGCCCAGACUCCUACGGGAGGCAGCAGUAGGGAAUCUUCCGCAAUGGACGAAAGUCUGACGGAGCAACGCCGCGUGAACGAUGAAGGCCUUCGGGUCGUAAAGUUCUGUUGUUAGGGAAGAACAAGUACCAGAGUAACUGCUGGUACCUUGACGGUACCUAACCAGAAAGCCACGGCUAACUACGUGCCAGCCGCCGCCGUAACAC